AGGUGACAAAAGCUGUCCCCAGACUUCAUAGAACCAGUCCUGAGACACCCAUCAACCAACCUUGACCAGGAUGACCUACAAGCCUUGCAUUCAAUAAAAUCCCAAGACUUUUGCCAUCAGUUCCUGGAAGAAACCUCCUGAGCCUGGCCUUUACAAGCUUUCUGGUCUUCUGAGCUCUGCCUGGAAGAUAAACAAGUACAUCCCGGGAACUCUGUGUCCUGUAGUGAACCCGAAACCCACAGGGACAAGACGGAGGGCCUGUAACAAGAUGGCGUUACUUGUGCUAAGUCUCAUCUGGGUCUUACACCCCUUCAUCUGUGCUUGCCAGCAUGCCCUUCCC
rnacentral:lncRNA from 1 species